rnacentral:piRNA from 1 species
UCGACAUCUCAUCCAUGCUUUGUGUC